AAAUAAAACGGUACCACGUUGAAUACACCAGUUUAGGUGUACGAUCACUGAAGUUAAGCAACGCUGAGCGUGGCUAGAACUUGGACCUUUGCGGAGUUAAUGUGUGUUUUUGUUU
rnacentral:rRNA from 1 species